rnacentral:rRNA from 1 species
UACGUAGGCAGCGAGCGUUGUUCGGAGUUACUGGGCGUAAAGGGUGUGUAGGCGGUUGUUUAAGUUUGGUGUGAAAUCUCCCGGCUCAACUGGGAGGGUGCGCCGAAUACUGAAUGACUAGAGUGCGGGAGAGGAAAGUGGAAUUCCUGGUGUAGCGGUGAAAUGCGUAGAUAUCGGAAGGAACACCAGUGGCGAAAGCGGCUUCCUGGUCCAGCACCGACGUUCAGGCACGAAAGCGUGGGGAGCAAACAGG